UACUUUGUCUUAGGUUGAAGUUGAGUAAAUGUUGUGUGUUCUGUGGCAAUGUUGUUGCUGCAGAAUAACCAAAAUUUAUCAGUGUCAUGAAUCCUCUAGCAUUUUCUUACCAGUACAAUUUUCUUCUUCUUUCUGCUGUACAAAUGUUGUUUUCUUAUUUACUUCAUUCAGACAAUAACUAGUUUCAUACUUUCAUUUGAUUAUUCUGUAUUUCUAUUACUGACAUGGGAGCAAUCCCUUGUGUCUUCAGCAAGCAGCGCUUGUACUAAAUGCUUCCCGUCGAUUUCGUUAUACCUUGGAUUUGAAGAAAGAAGAAGAGAAGAAACUAAUACUGAGAAAGAUUAGAGUGCAUGCACAAGCCAUUAGAGCAGCAUAUCUUUUCAAAGCAGCUGGGGGGCAGGGGCAGAGGCAGGGACAAGGGCAAGGACAAUUGAAUGAAACUACAAAACCUCUUCAAACCUCUACUGGUGAAUUUCCAAUUGGACCGGAGCAACUAGCUUCCAUUUCAAGGGAGCACGAUAUUGCCUCAUUGCAGCAAUAUGGAGGGGUUGCAGGGGUAUCAAAUUUAUUGAAAACUGAUUUAGAGAAGGGAGUUGAUGGUGAUGAUGCUGACUUACUAAGACGGAGGAAUGCAUUUAGUUCCAACAAUUACCCUCGAAAGAAAGGAAGAAGUUUUCUG